GUCUCAGAUUUCUUAUCCUCUAUCUCAUCUUCUUCUACGUCACUCUCUUCUCUUCCAAUUCUUUUUCUUCUCUCUUAGAUUUCGUUAGAAACGAAAGCAAAUCAAGUAAAGUUUUGAUCUUUUUGUUAGAUAUGAAAGUUAAUUUUGAUUCCUGCAUUAUGAGAAGGAGGGAGAUUGUGUUUUGUCCUCUCCAUUUCUCUUCUCAAACACGACAGAGAGAAGAGAGAUGAGACAGAGAGAGAUGAGAGAUUGCAUGAGGAAGAAGAGACCGGUCUGAGUUUGUGCCAUCGUCACCGGUCUGAGUUCGUCUCCAUCACCACCGGUCUGAGUUCGUCAUCAUCGUUACGGGUCUCGAACAGGCCUUGAUCCACAGGUCGAUUUCUGAGAAUUUGUUUCUUCUUCUAGUGAUUAUAGGGUUCAGAUUUACUUGUUUCCAUUCGAGACUUCUUGUUAGGGUUUCGUCGCAUCUCCUCAUCUCCGUUACACCUCGUUCUCUCUCUCUCUUCUCCGGUGGCAAGGCGGAGCAGCGUCAAAGGCGGUGGCAGCGAAUCUUGAGCUUCUAUCCCAUUAGCGGAAACGAAGAAGACAGAGGAAGAGGACGACGGCUCAGAUCCCGAGUUUCUCUCCCAUAUGGCGUCCAUUGCUUCUAAGCUCUAUUCAGAUCUUCUGCUUGAGCUGGUCUUCAGCAGUGAAAAGACAACUUGAUUCAUCAGUUUGUGUUUUUCCUGAACCAUUUUUUGAGUGUUGAAGCUUCUCAUUGGUGGAUUCUAGCAAAGGUCAAGCAAUGGUUCGAGAUUUGGUCUUCUCUUGUCAAGAAAGAAUGGAGCAAGAAGCUAUUAUUGACUCAUUGUUGGAGAUUAACUAUUGAGGACGUUUGAGGAUCGUGAGGAUGAGAGCAUUCUACCAAGCAAGAAACGAGGUGUUAGAAUCCGUGGUACGAUUUAAAAGAUGGAACAAUUGAUAGACUUGGUAGCCAUGACGACAUUGCUACAUCUUGAUGGAGGAGGAGGCAGAGGGGUUGACGGAGGAAGCGAACAGAGGAGGUGGAGGCGGAGGAUUAGGUUUUUUUUUGUUUCUUUUAGGUUUAGCGUAAACCGGUUUGAUUUAUUUUUUUAUGUAAAUAUUUAUGUUUUUGUAAUGUAGGUGAAGUGAGCUCGAGAGAAUGUCCAUUGUUGGUUUUAAGGUUUAGGUUUUUGUUA